rnacentral:rRNA from 1 species
UACGGGGGGGGCAAGCGUUGUUCGGAAUUACUGGGCGUAAAGGGCUCGUAGGUGGCCAACUAAGUCAGACGUGAAAUCCCUCGGCUUAACCGGGGAACUGCGUCUGAUACUGGAUGGCUUGAGUUUGGGAGAGGGACGCGGAAUUCCAGGUGUAGCGGUGAAAUGCGUAGAUAUCUGGAGGAACACCGGUGGCGAAGGCGGCGUCCUGGACCAACACUGACACUGAUGCACGAAAGCUGGGGGAGCAAACAGG